GGGCUCUGACCUGAGACCUCUGGGUUCUGAGCUGUGAUGUGGGUUCUGAGCUGUGAUGUCGCUUCUGAGCUGGGAUCUCCGGGGUCUUGGUUCAGGGUCG
rfam:Loxodonta africana unplaced genomic scaffold scaffold_4, whole genome shotgun sequence.